GAAUCCCGUCUUUGACAUGGACUGCCAGGGCUCAACAGGUGUGCUCUCGAAGAGUCGAGUUGUUUGGGAAUGCAGCUCAAAAUGGGUGGUAAAUGCCAUCUAAAGCUAAAUAUUGGCGAGAGACCGAUAGCGAACAAGUACCGUGAGGGAAAGAUGAAAAGAACUUUGGAAAGAGAGUUAAACAGUACGUGAAAUUGCUGAAAGGGAAACGCUUGAAGUCAGUCGCGUCAGCUGGAAGUCAACCCUGCUUUUGCUGGGCGCACUUUCCUGUCUGACGGGUCAGCAUCAGUUCUGGUCGCUGGAUAAAGUCCUUGGGAACGUGGCAUCCUUUGGAUGUGUUAUAGCCCACUGGCGCAUGCAGCGGCUGGGAUUGAGGAACUCAGCACGGCCCUUGCGAGAGGGCGAUUGGAGGGAGACCUCACAACUUACGUGCUUAGGAUGCUGGCAUAAUGGCUUUAAUCGACCCGUCUUGAAACACGGACCAAGGAGUCUAACAUGCCUGCGAGUGUUUGGGUGGUGAAAACUCAUGCGCGCAAUGAAAGUGAUGGUUGAGAUCCCUGUCAUGGGGAGCAUCGACGCCCAGACCAGACCUUUUGUGACGAUUCUGCGGUAGAGCAUGUAUGUUGGGACCCGAAAGAUGGUGAACUAUGCCUGAAUAGGGUGAAGUCAGAGGAAACUCUGGUGGAGGCUCGUAGCGAUUCUGACGUGCAAAUCGAUCGUCAAAUUUGGGUAUAGGGGCGAAAGACUAAUCGAACCAUCUAGUAGCUGGUUCCUGCC
rnacentral:rRNA from 1 species